rnacentral:misc_RNA from 1 species
AAGUCGUAACAAGGUUUCCGUAGGUGAACCUGCGGAAGGAUCCUCGCAUCAACGCUUGUAUACCAACAUUCAAACCCAAUGUGAACCGUAACGUCCCUAGUUUUGUUCAUUCAAUUUCUUUCGGGGAAUUAAGUGGAUGAGAUUAGACAAUACCCUGUUAAGAAUUCGAACUUGUGUCGAUUUCUUAACGUUUAUUCCCCUAAAUUUUAACCCUAUAAACUAAAUGUUUGUCUUAUCUUCUUCAGACUGAGUUUGGAAGCCUUGAGAAUUUCAUUCUCUUGUGUUUUCUUCUUCAGCUUUGUUACGAAAUUUAGAACAACUCUUAGCAAUGGAUAUCUUGGGUCAU